rnacentral:rRNA from 1 species
CAUGCAGUCGAACGAGAUGGCCCAGUGAAGGUUGAGUGCUUGCACGAGACUGAAUCUGGAUUCCCAUCUAGUGGCAGACGGGUGAGUAACACGUGGGUGACCUACCUUUUCGUUGGGGAUAACAGUUGGAAACGAUUGCUAAUACCGAAUAAAAUGUAAGAGUCAAUUUUACAUUGAAAGGAGCCUUUAAAGCUUCGCGAUUAGAUGGGCCUGCGGCGUAUUAACUAGUUGGUGAGGUAAUGGCUUACCAAGGUGACGAUGCGUAGCCGAACUGAGAGGUUGAUCGGCCACAUUGGGACUGAGACACGGCCCAAACUCCUACGGGAGACAGCAGUUAGGAAUAUUCGUCAAUGGAGGAAACUCUGAACGAGCAAUGCCGCGUGAGUGAUGAAGGUCUUAUAGAUUGUAAAACUCUGUUGUAUGGAAAAAACGACUAGGUUAGGAAAUGAACUUAGUGUGAUGGUACCAUACCAGAAAGCCCCGGCUAACUACGUGCCAGCAGCCGCGGUAAUACGUAGGGGGCGAGCGUUAUCCGGAUUUAUUGGGCGUAAAGCGUGUGUAGGCGGUUUAUUAAGUUUAAGAUUAAAGCCCGGGGCUCAACUCCGGUAAGUCUUAAAAACUGGUAGACUUGAGUACGGUAGAGGCAAACGGAAUUUCUAGUGUAGCGGUGAAAUGCGUAGAUAUUAGAAGGAACACCAGUGGCGAAAGCGGUUUGCUGGGCCGUUACUGACGCUGAGGCACGAAAGCGUGGGGAGCAAAUAGGAUUAGAUACCCUAGUAGUCCACGCCGUAACGAUGAGUACUAAGUGUUGGGGUUACCCAGUGCUGAAGCUAACGUAUUAAGUACUCCGCCUGAGUAGUACGGUCGCAAGGCUGAAACUCAAAGGAAUU